rnacentral:rRNA from 1 species
GAUGAACGCUAGCUACAGGCUUAACACAUGCAAGUCGCGGGGCAGCAUGGAUGUCCUUUCGGGGACAUCUGAUGGCGACCGGCGUACGGGUGAGUAACGCGUAUCCAACCUGCCCUUUACAACGGGACAGCCCGUCGAAAGGCGGAUUAAUACCGUAUGUUGUCAUGUUGAUGCAUAUUUUCAUGACCAAAGGCUUCGGCCGGUAAAGGAUGGGGAUGCGUCUGAGUAGCUUGCCGGCGGGGUAACGGCCCACCGGGGCGACGAUCAGUAGGGGUUCUGAGAGGAAGGUCCCCCACAUUGGAACUGAGACACGGUCCAA